rnacentral:rRNA from 1 species
UACGGAGGGUGCGAGCGUUGUCCGGAAUCACUGGGCGUAAAGGGCGCGUAGGUGGCGCGGGAAGUCAACGGUGAAAGUUCAGGGCUCAACCCUGAAUCGGCCGUCGAUACUCCCGGGCUCGAGCACUGUAGAGGCAGGUGGAAUUCCGGGUGUAGCGGUGGAAUGCGUAGAGAUCCGGAAGAACACCGGUGGCGAAGGCGGCCUGCUGGGCAGUUGCUGACACUGAUGCGCGACAGCGUGGGGAGCAAACAGG